CCCCUCUCAGUGUCGCACCUGGAGAGUUUCCAGUGCUCUGCCAAUCUUGGAUGUGGGAGGGAGAGUCAAGCGGAUACCCAUUCCAUUCCUAGCUUGGCCAGUGGCUAGCGAGGGGAAGGCAAUCUGCUGCACGU